AUUGAAGAAGGUGGAAUCGUCAUCCACCAUUUCGUCGCCUCCGUACUUUUCGUCUUCGUUAGAGAAACUACGCAGAGGAACCCACCGUCGCCUUCUCCCUCGCAAUCCCAUCUCCGGCCGACUCAAUAUCUCUAACUCUUCAUUUCUCUUCACAGCUCGAUCGGAUUCCUCAGCUAUGGCUCUCAAUCUCCGCCAAAAGCAGACUGAAAGCAUUAUUCGUAUGUUGAAUCUGAACCAGCCUGUUACCGCUACGGGUACGGCCAACGAUGAGGUUUACAAGAUCCUGAUCUACGACAGGUUCUGUCAAAACAUUCUUUCUCCUUUGAUUCAUGUCAAGGACCUACGCAAACAUGGCGUUACUCUUUACUUCCUUAUUGACAAGGAACGUAAGCCUGUACACGAUGUCCCUGCUGUUUACUUUGUUCAAGCAACCAAGCAUAAUAUCGAUCGGAUCGUUGCUGAUGCUUCGCGUUCUUUGUAUGAUAGCUUCUUUCUCAACUUCUCAUCCUCUGUCCCCCGGCAGCUGCUUGAGGAUCUCGCGUCUGAAACGUUGAAAACGGAUUCCAUUCAGCGAAUUGCAAAGGUGCAUGAUCAGUAUUUGGAAUUUGUUACUCUUGAAGAUAAUUUGUUUUCGUUAGGUCAGAGGUCUAGUUAUGUGCAAUUGAAUGAUCCCUCGGCAGGGGAUCGUGAGAUUGAAGAGAUUGUGGAGAAGAUUGUUGGAGGGUUGUUCUGUGUUUUGGCUACGCUUGCUGUAGUGCCGAUCAUUAGGUGCCCACGAGGGGGGCCUGCUGAGAUGGUUGCCAUGGCGUUGGAUCAAAGGUUAAGGGAUCACUUGUUAUCGAAGAACAACUUGUUCUCUGAAGGUGGGGGGUUUAUGAGCUCCUUUCAGCGCCCGAUUCUGUGUUUAUUUGAUCGUAAUUUUGAAUUGUCUGUUGGAAUUCAACAUGAUUUUAGAUACCAGCCUUUGGUGCACGACAUUCUUGGGCUGAAAUUGAAUGGGUUGAGUGUUAAGAGUGAAAAGGGUGGAAUGAAUUAUGAGUUGAAUAGUUCGGAUCCAUUUUGGUCGGCUAAUGGAUUCUUGGAAUUCCCAGAAGUUGCAGUCGAGAUUGAGACACAGCUGAACAAAUACAAGAGGGAUGUUGAUGAGGUCAAUAGGAAGACUGGUGGAGCUGCUGAGGCUGAGUUUGAUGGAGCAGAUAUGAUAGGUAACACUAAGCAUUUGAUGAAGGCAGUUAACUCAUUGCCUGAGUUGACCGAGCGGAAGCAAAUCAUCGACAAGCACACGAAUAUUGCUACUGUUUUGCUUGGGGAGAUUAAAGAAAGAUCCCUUGAUUCAUAUGCGAAGAAGGUGAACGAGAUAAUGUCUAGAGGUGGCAUUGAUCGGAAUGAGCUUUUGGACUUGCUUAGAGGUAAAGGCACUAAGAUGGACAAGCUUCGGUUUGCUAUCAUGUAUCUAAUCUCUUCUGAAAACAUUAAUCAAUCGGAAGUUGAAGCAGUGGAAGAGGUUCUAAAGGAGUUGGAAAUUAACACUAGUGCAUUUCAAUAUGUAAAGAAGAUGAAAUCAUUGAACGUCUCAUUUGCAUCUGCAAAUUCCACUGGCAAGGGAAACAUUGUCAAUUGGGCUGAAAAGCUAUACGGACAAUCAAUUAGUGCUGUGACUGCUGGUGUAAAAAAUCUAUUAUCUAGUGAUAGGCAACUUGCAUUAACAAGGACUGUGGAGGCUUUGAUGGAGGGAAAACCAAAUCCUGAAAUUGAUUCGUAUCUCGUUCUCGAUCCUCGUGCUCAAAGGUCAAGUGCUGGAACAAGCAGCAGCCAUUUAAAAGGACCUUUCAAGGAAGCGAUCGUAUUUAUGAUUGGCGGGGGUAAUUACAUAGAGUAUGCAAGUCUGCAGGAACUUUCCCUGCGUCAGCAUCCUCCGAAGCAUGUUGUAUAUGGUACAACAGAAAUUCUAACUGGAGAGGAGUUUGUAGAGCAGCUUAUGCUGUUGGGGCAGAAGAUGGGGUUGGGCAGUGCUUCUGUAUCCUCAAGUAAUUAGUUCAUACCCUUAGUCUAGAAUUCUAAAUCAGUAAUUUGGAGUUAGUUUUUGAUUCAGUGGUGGAGUUCUAAUCUGUCAGUCAUAUAGAACGCACGGUUUACUAUUGAUCUAUACUUGACCCUCGAGCAGCCUGCGUGAUCCCAAGUUGGUCACCUCUGAGCCUCUUGGAAAUUCUUCUUUCUUAGAUAGGGUAGGUUCAGUCGAUUCGAAGCAAAAGUAGAGGUUCGAUGAGCAAGACCCGUCUAACAAAACCAAUUUUGCUGUCUGCAGCUUGAAGGAAUGAACUUACUGAGUCCUUCAAGAAUGAAAACAAGUACAGGAUCUAUUUCUAUAGGCUAUACAGUUGUUUCCUUGAGUUCAAGAGCGAGAUUGUACCUGGCAAAACCAGCUACAGUACGCAAGCCCAUAAAGAGUGUCAAGCCUAGCCAUGUCCUAUAGAGACCAAAGCUGGAAGGAGCAUAAAGCAUAACGCAGGAAGAGACUGUUCCAAUCACCACCUAAUAUAACCAGCAAGUUUGUCUUCACUUUGGAGAUAAGGAUACUUCAUUUUAGUGAUCUUUACUAUGAAGGAAAAUGUUUACCGUUGACCAAGCUGCAUACGGGAAGUCCGAAACACCAUAAUGCAAACCAUCAAAGAGAAUUGCUAGAGGAAUCAAAGGUUGAGCGCCACUUACAAACUGUACAAGAUUCAAUGGAAGCAUUCUGUGAGCCACAUAUAUGAAAACGUUCAACCUAGUAAGGACGAGUUCUGUUCAAAACGAAACUGCAUAACUUACCAGCACUCCCUUUCUAAGAAUUUCCAACACUUGAGGAUCCUUGGUGAACAAAGGGGCCAAAGAAUGAAAAGAUGCUCCAAGGACUGCACAUAAUAUGAUACCUGCGAGCAAGCCUACCUGAACCAAAAUCCAUAUAAAACUUGUUCAUUUGUUGAAACGUCAAGUUUCAAAAGACUUCCAGUGGGAAUGUAGAGACACAAAUACACAAAUAAAAUGAAAUUGUACCUUUA